rnacentral:tRNA from 1 species
GGGGCCAUGGCGCAAGUGGUAGCGCACCUGCUUUGCAAGCAGGGGGUUAGGGGUUCGAGUCCCCUUGGCUCCACCG